rnacentral:rRNA from 1 species
GAUCAUUAGUGAAUUUGUAGGGCCUGCCAUACGGAUGCGCAAGCGUCUCUGGCGCCCAACCCACUAUACAUCCACAAACCCGUGUGCACUUGUGUUGCUUUGGCCUGUAUGGGCGAGCGCACGCAUUCAAACAAACUCGUAUGGUUGUAUGUACGUUGUAAACGUUGGACCGUCACUGGCCAACAAACUUUAUACAACUUUCGACAACGGAUCUCUUGGUUCUCCCAUCGAUGAAGAACGCAGCGAAACGCGAUAGGUAAUGUGAAUUGCAGAAUUCCGUGAAUCAUCGAAUCUUUGAACGCACCUUGCGCUCCAUGGUAUUCCGUGGAGCAUGCCUGUUUGAGUGCCGCGAAUUCUCCCACCCCAAACGGUUGCCGAAAGGUACUGUGCGGCGGAGGGGUUGGAUGGGUGCUACUGCCUGUGGUGGGGAAACUACAACAGGCUCGCCCGAAAUGCAUUAGCGCCUCAGGACACAUUCGCUACUGCUCUACAAAAGGAAGAGCAGCGAAGCGUAUGGGGGGGAAAACCACCACCGGUUAUUCCAAACCUCGCCUGACUGUUUUUGCGCGCAUGGCAUGAUACGUCAUUUGCUGUGUUGCGUAGGGGGGUGCAUGAAAAAGUGGGAGUGCCUCUGGAGAUCCUGCGGAGGAGCUCAAUAAUAAGCGGAGGAGCAGGUGAACAAGCUGCGGAGCAUCUCAUUUAGCGGGCGAUUCGGGCCCUCUCUCUUC